UUGAAUUUUUAUACUAUUGAAGUUGUAACAUUUUUAACUAAAUUAAGACCAAUAGAAGCCAAAGAAAAUACAUUGUAUUUUAAAAGUUCAAUUGUAAUGAAUUCUUAAAUUUUAAUUCAAUGAAAGUAUGAUUUAAUACAAAUAUAAUGUUGGACACUGGCUCCACAAUUGAUAAAAAAAAUACAAAGGCUGCAUACUUACAAUGGAUUGACAUAAUAAUACUUCUUACUUUUUACUUCAUAUUUUUAUGUUGAAUCCUAGAAAUCCAGGUAGGGGAGCUUCAAUGUGGUCUUUUGUAGCAUGUUUGGUUUAAGUGAUGUUAUCCAUUCCAUCUUUGAAUGAUUUUAUAGUUUUGCUCUCUUUUAAUUCAGCUGUCAUUAAGUUAUAUGUGCAACCAUCAAUAUCAUUGAAUAAAACAAUUAACACAAGCGGCCCAAGAACAGAUCCCUGAGGCACACCUCAUCUAGUCUGAGAUUUUACCAUUUAUAACAACUCAUUGUUUUUUUUCCAGUAGCCAGUUGUGGAUCCACUUGAGAACAUUACCUUUUACUCUAUGGGCCUCUAACUUUUUAAUUGUUUUGGCACUUUGUUGAAAGCUUUGGCAAAAUCCAGGUAUGCAUAAAAGGGCCUUUGUUUGCACUCUAGGUUAUUUUUUCUCAAAGUUUUGCUUAGCAUAAUAAACAGCUUUCUUGCAUUAAUUUUCAAUAGUCAUAAACUGUGCUAAGUGAUAUGGUAGAUGAGUAUUUUGAAAAAGGUUUCAAGAUCUUUUCUUUCUUCUGCACAAUUUUACAACAUAUUUUGUCAUCUUUUUAUGCAAUCAGUUAACACUGUUCUUCAGUUUCUUUGUACCUUCUGUAGCUUCUUAUCUUCUUUCUUAUCAACAUCAAGAACUAGUUUCUUUGUACCUUCAGUAGCUAUUUCUUUUCUUCCUUAUCAAACUCAAUAGAUUCCUAUUCAUUCUCAGUGGAGUCUUAGGAUUUCUAAUCUUUUUCAAGGUAUCCUAGAUAUUAGCAAGUUUGAUUAAGUUUAUUUUGAAAGUAUCCCAUGCCAAUCUUGUACAUUUAUCAUUUAGGAGUUCAAACCAGUCCAGGUGAUUCAGUGCAAACUUAAGGUUCUCAAUAUCAGCCCAUAAAACUUUAGUUUAAGCUCUAAAUAAAGUUUAUGUUUAGAAUACAAUUAUAUAUAUACAGAGAAGGAAAUGAGACCAAAGAAUCAAGAGAGAUAUCCGAAUAGAUAUUCAUGUGCUUCUUCAGAUCAGGGUUUUCGGAUUCAACCUGAACAUUGAGAAUUAAAAGAUUCAUAGGUCUUACAUACACCUUUUCAUCUUUGAUCUGAGGUCAUGGUUUCCCAAUUUAUUCCUGGGAGAUUUAAGUCACCAUUAACAAAUGAGUUUGGUUCAAUGUCAUUCAAUAUUUCACAUAGUUCAGCUGUAGUAUCACUAUUACUAUUAGAAAUAGGGCAAUAUCAUGAGUCCACUUUUGGCAUUUACAAGGAGACCUCCCCCUAUACCAUUAGCAGUGUCUAUUCAAUCACAUUUAAGCUCGUUAAUUAGUUCAUAAUUUGUUAAACUCAAAAUUGAGUCCUGGAUAUCCAUGACACCAAGACUCUGUCAAUAAUAUUAUGUCUGGUUUUAAGUCUUCCGAAAUAUAAUUCAAUUCUUAUACCUUGUUUACAACACUUUGAGCAUUAAGGUAGAGAAUUGUUAGUUUGAUUGGCUGUUCCCUUCUGUUGUCCUUCCUGUUCUGUUCCUGCGUCCCAGGGACUUCCCCAUACUGAUGGAGAAGCCUGAUCAUAAUCUUCUCUUGUACUCUUGUAUCCUCAGCUGGUUAUCCAUCUUUCUGGACAUUGUCCUUCUCAUCAGUAUCUCUAUUUAUCUGAUCUCUGUUCGUUUUGGUUCUUCUGGCCUCUUUAUGUUUCUCUAGGGUUUAUUUUGAUUGGCUUCUUUUUCUGUUAUGCGUUCUCCUUUUCAUUAACAUAUUCAAUACUCCUGGGCUCAGUUUCUUGAUAUGUGUACCCUCCUUUCAGAACUUUGAGUAUUAUAAUUUCUCCUGGGGAAAAUCUUUUUCUCCAGUCAAACUCUUUUCUCUUCUCUUGGUCCUUCUAGUUUCCAUUCAGAGUUCUGCGAAGUUUCAUUUUAUGUUCAGAUUUAUGCUUCAGAACUUCUAUCCUCCUCCUCCCUCUGGUAGUAGGGAGGUUCUUGGCUUUUUCAAGCAUUUUUUUUACAUUUUUUUCCAGACUACAAAAUCCAAUCAUCAAAGGUCUACAGUUUUCCUUCUUUUCCCCAAUCCUUUUAGAAAACUGGACACUUUCCUCUUAAAGCCUUACUCCAAUCUUGUUAAGGAUCUCAAGGAGACACUUGAUAUCCUUCUCUUGUCUAGAUAUACCAUUUCACACAUCUUCAUUAGUCUCUGCUAUGUUAUGAAAAGUAGAUUAUCCUUUCUAUCUUCUCUCUCUCUGAGCUCAUAAAGAAGUUAAUCAAUCUUCUAUUGGUUUGGGCAGUUCCUUAAUAUCUUUGGUAUUUUUGUUACUAAUGCUUCUCAGAUCCUCAACCUUGUUUCCAACAGCUUCAAUAUCUUUAUGGUUACUUGCAACCUCCAUCUCUAUCUCUUCUGUUCUGUUCUCCUAUUCUCCAGGUCUCACCACAACCUAAUUAGUUGAGUAUUCUCGUUUAAUUUAGUUUGUACUAGCCACAGCUAGUUGUUCAGUGGUACAAUGGGUUUGUUUUAGUAACUUUGCUGAACCCUUUCUAGCAGCUCAAUAUCACCCAUUAACCAUGGACUCCAUGCCUGGACUGAAAAUUCUAGGUGACGUCAGACAAAUUCUUCAAAAAGUUUUCUUGUCGUGGUAUAUAAAAACACUAGAGAUCUGUGCCAGUACAGUUAUUGCUCUGUGAGGUAUAAUCUAUUAUGACUCCAAUGUCUCAUUAGUGGGUUACUGUAGCUAGGGGUUAGCCAUUCAUUCAUUUUGGUACAGUGGUACAGAUCAUUUAUAAAUGUAACAAAAAGAAGAGGACCCAAGACAGACCCUUAGAAGACCCCACUUAUAACAUAGGACCACUCAGAACAACAUCCAUUUAGAAUCAUCCGCUGUUUGCAGUUGGGUCACAAGAAUUUGGUCCAUAUUUUUGUAACCUUGUAUGUGGCACUUAAUCAAAUACCUUACUAAAUCAAGAUAGCUAUUUCUGCAGAAUUUCCUCCAUCCACAAUAUUGGUAAUUUUAUAUAAGAAUCCCAGGAUAUUAGUAGUGCAAGACUUUAUGGACAUGAAUUCAUGUUGUGAACUUUUAAUGAGACAAUAUUUUAGUAGAUACCACUAUGCCAUCUAUAAUAAUGGAUUCCAUUACAUUGCAAGGAAUUGAUUUCAAUGAUAUUGGUCUUGAAUAACUGGGGUUGUAUUUGAAUCCUUUCUUAAAUAUAGGGGUGACAUUAGCGUCUCUCCAGUCAUGGGGUUCUGCACCAGAUUUCAUUGACUUAGAAUAGAAGAUAGAUAGUGGAAUACAGAGUGGAGCUGAAAAUUCUGAAAGAAAUCUUGACGAGAAAUGAUCAAGUCCUGAGCUGGAACAUAUUUUCAACUUCUUAAGUUUUCUGUCUACUACUUUAUCCACCUUAUCUAAUGCAGUCUCCUCCUUUUUAUCCACAAAAUCAACCACCUUCUCAUGAACCUCUCCAAUUCUCCUCAUAUUAUCAGCUACAGUGACAUAGACUUUAUUAAGCUUCUUAUGAAUGGUACUCUUUAGCUCUUCACAGUGUGUGCAGAUAAUAAUACCAAUUCAAUAAAUUAAAAGUACCAAUUUCACCAAGGUCUUUCAACUAGGGUGAAUAUCUGUCAGAAUGACACCCCUUUCCCCCCUCACCCUUGGAAUAAUUGGACAUCUAAAGGCAACUUUUUCUUUUCUUUUUGACGCUUUUACCGACAAAUUCAUUGAUGUCCUCCUAAAAAUCAUUUAUUUUCCCUAAGUCAGUGAAUAACCCCUAAAAAAGUUUUGGUGCUCUGCGAUACAUUAUAAAUAUAUA